rnacentral:rRNA from 1 species
ACGGAGGGUGCAAGAGUUAUUCGGAAUUACUGGGCGUAAAGCGCGUGUAGGCGGUCCUGCAAGUCUGAUGUGAAAGCCCCGGGCUUAACCCGGGAAGUGCAUUGGAAACUGUGGGAAUUGAGUACUGGAGAGGAUGGGGGAAUUCCCGGUGUAGAGGUGAAAUACGUAGAGGUCUGGAGGAAUAUCAGUGGCGAAGGCGCCCAGCUGGACGGUAACUGACACUGAGACGCGAACGCGUGGGGAGCAAGCAG